rnacentral:rRNA from 1 species
GACAGAGGAUGCAAGCGUUAUCCGGAAUGAUUGGGCGUAAAGCGUCUGUAGGUGGCUUUUUAAGUCCGCCGUCAAAUCCCAGGGCUCAACCUCUGGACAGGCGGUGGAAACUACCAAGCUGGAGUACGGUAGGGGCAGAGGGAAUUUCCGGUGUAGCGGUGAAAUGCGUAGAUAUCGGAAGGAACACCAGUGGCGAAAGCGGCUUCCUGGUCCAGCACCGACGUUCAGGCACGAAAGCGUGGGGAGCAAACAGG